AGAGGGUCAGCUGAGGCAGAUCUUGAGGGUUGGAGGCACUGCCCAAGGGAAAGGAGAGGAGAGGGCCAUGCUUGACCAGCCCGCGCUUGCCCACUCCUGCCCACACUGACCUACUCACACCUGCUUACUCCUGUGACCUCCUCCACCACCACCUGGCCUUACUUCGCAUGCUCUGUCCACCCUGGGCUUGCUUUUCCUACUGGCUUGGUGGCUCCUGUCCUUACCUCUCUCCCUGCUUCUGCCCACAGGCCGACAAGAGAGAGAAAUUCUGUAGUGGGAGAUGCAGGCCUACUCGCUUGCCCUGUGGAGCUUUGGCUGAUGUUAAGCAAGUCACCUAGCAUGGAUGAGAGGGACCAAAUUCCCCUGGAGUAUGACCUUUUAGAGGAAGCCUUCCCACAAAGGAUCCCAAAUAUUUGCAAUUCAAGUCAGAGCAAAAGAUUGAUUUUCCUGGUAAAUAAAGAGCUCCUACCAAUCAUUAAGGAAAAUAAACAAUCCAAUAGGAAUCCAGGCAAAGAUAUGAACGGACAGCUCACAAAAAGGGAGUACAAAGAACUCUGAGACCAAUGACGUGUGAAAAAGGCUGACUCUCACUCAUCAUGGGAGCCAUGUACAUAGAAUGGCACUGCGCCGCAACCCCAGCCUCAGACUGCUCAAGACUGCCGACGAGGGUGUGCAGCGGGCACACACUGCUGCCUCGUGGGCACAGCGUGCUGUUGUACACAGACCACAGAGAUCACCUUGACCCUGCGCUUCUGAAGGGUGACCUGGCAAUAAUUUAGCACUGCCUCUACUCAGCAAGUCAUCCCAUCUCUACACGGACAAGGCUAUUCCACACGUACCAGAUUGUUCCCUGAAGCAUUUUCAGUAUCACCAAAGAUUUGAAACAGCCCAAGUGUCCUUCACUAGAGGGUGGGCUAAAUAAUUUAUGGUGGAUUGGUACAACUGAACACUAUGCAAUCAUGAAGAAGAGGGGAGGGGAAAGGGUAGUAGGAAGUACUUUUAUGCACUGAUGUGCAU
ensembl:lncRNA